CCUGGAGAUAAUCGGCGCAAGUAUUUGGGCUCAACUACACUUGUGAGGAGGAGAAAUGUAAAGAGGACUUACAAGUCUGACAACUGCUUUUAACUAUUGGAGUGUCUGAUAAAGGAUCUUUAUUUUCAUCGCAGCCUCAAGCCUCUAUAUACAUUAUCUGAGAUGCCAAUACAGUUCAGAGCAGACUUAAUUGCUCUACUCUUGUGAGUGUUUAUGAUAUAUAUAUUCACAAUAUUUAUUGUUUAUGCAUAUUGCCCUAUGAGCUGUUUUUUCUUUUGAGAAUUGCACUGAAGUUCUGACAGAAGCAAUUUCAAGAAUUUCUCAAAAGUAAGGUAUUAACAUUUUGUCCCUACUUUGCACAAAUUAGUGGGGUUUUAUCACUAGUGCACUGUAACACUUUUGUUUUUUUGUAUUAGCACAAUUCGCUUAUGCUACUACACACGUAUGUGGUAUUCAUAUUAUUCAGCAAUUGAUUUAUAGCUUUAAAAGCACAGUGCACUUUAUUUUUUGUCAUUUAUGUGAAUAUUAUCCACUUGUAUAUGGUAUUUAUAUUAUUCAUUAAUUGCUUUCGGUCUUAAAGGCACAGCGCACUUUAUUUUUUGUUUUUUGUUUUCUUGUAUCUUAUGUGAGUGGAGCUUCUUCACAAUAUAUAGUGCUGCUUUAGAUUUAGAUUUAUAUUGAACUGCAUAUAUCAUUUUUAGCCCCAUUUUUACAGUUGCCUGAUUGACAGGGGGUGGUCUGUGUAACUCCAAGUGCACAUUUAAAAAAAAAUAAAUCUGCACUUUUUGUAAAAUGAUUGCUAAGGUUAGUGUUGGGAGUAGAUUUAGCUUUAGGGUUAAGGGUAUGGCUACGGUUAAAGUAAUGGUUUGGGUUAGGGUCAUCGAAUAAAUUCCAUUAAUUAGUUUUGGAGACAUUAUAGUAAACCAAGAGAAAAGUUUGAGGAGUUUAGUGAUAACUGCAGAGCCCACAGAAGCAGAGGAGUAACUAGAGACCCCAGUUCUUGGAUGCAAAAAUUGCCCUGGAGCCCCCUCGAUGUGUCUCAUUUCCCCAUGUGUCUCAUUCCCUCCCCCCAGCCCCUCCAUGUGUCUCAUACCCCCAAAGUGUCUCAUUCCCUCCCCCCAGCCCCUCCAUGUGUCUCAUACCCCCAAAGUGUCUAAUUUCCUUCUCCCAGCCCCUCCACGUGUAACAUUCCCUCCCCCCCAAGUCCCUCCACAUGUCUCAUUCCCCCCAAGCCCCUUAAUUUGUCUCAUACCCCCCAAAGCCCCUCUAUGUGUCUCAUUCCCCCCAGGCAUCUCCAUGUUUCUUUCUCCCCCUCCACUCAUGUCCCUCCAUGUGUCUCAUCCCCCCCCCCCAAGUGUCUCAUUUGCACCCCCCAGGCCCUACAUGUGUCUCAUUUCACCCACAAGCCGCUCCAUGUGUCAUUCUCCCCCUCCACUCUUGCCCCUCCAUGUGUCUCUCCAUUUCUCUCUCCCCCCUCCCCUCCCCUGCACAACUCCAUUUCUCUGUCCUCCCCUCCAGCUUCUCAAUUUUUCUCUCCCCACCCUUUCCCUGAAGCCCCUUUAUUUCUCCCACUUUGCAGCCCCUCCAUUUCUCUAUCUCCUUCCUGCAGACUCUCUAUUUCACCCCCCUUGCCCUGCAGACCCUCCGUCCACCCCUUCCCUGCACACCUCCAUUUCUCUCCCCUGCAGACCCUCCAUUUCCUCAUUCCCCUUCCACUGCGCCUCCAUUUCUCCAUUCCCCUUCCCUGCACCCUCCAUUUCUCCAUUCCCCCUUCCCCUGCACACCCUCCAUUUCUCCAUCCCCCCUCCCCUGCACUCCCUCCAUUUCACCCCCCCACCCUUGCAGACCCUCCAUUUCUCCAUUCCCCCUUACCUGUUUGCCGCAAUCGCAGUACCCGUCUGAGUCUGACAGGAAGUGCUCUCUCAGUGAGCACAGCGGCAGGAGGGUAGCAGCCCAGCACAUCUCUUCUCUCCUGCCGGUUAGCCUGCAACCGCGGGUCCCGGCUGGUGCUGCUGUGCACCGGCCCUAAAGGUCUGCUGGCGGCCCACAGUCGCAGGGGUCGCAGUGGCGGCCAGGCCCUCUGGAGUGACGGGCCCGGUCGCAGCUGCGACCCCUUCGACCGUGGUAGUUACGCCACUGCACGGAAGGCAUUAAUUUCCCUUAAUAGUGACUUCAGCUUUCUGAUUUGUAACAUGAUUACAUGUUUUAGGGAUAACAUUAGGUCUACAAUUAGAGAUAAUUCUAAUGUUAGGGUUAAGGAGAACAAUUUUCUCCCAGACUACCAACCUGCUGACAUCAUUACAUCAUUACCACCUACCCAUAACACUUUUUGCUCAGCAAAUAUAGUACAUUUGUUUUAGUUGAUGUAAUGGAGAGCAGUUGAACUGACUGCAGUUGGGUUCUCUUGUUCUCCACAACCACUCAAUUCUUGGCAAAGAUAACUCUGAGCCAAAAAAAUGUUGUAUUAAAAAAAAUAUCAUUUAUUUUGAAAAAUAUUUUUUAUUAAAAUAUAUCAGAAGAACUGGUUGGCAAGUUAAUUCCAUGUGCAUAAUUUGUGUCCCUGCUAAAGACCACUGGCCGUCACAGCUUACUGGAUGGAACUUCUGGCCUUUCUUUUUUAGAUGAGAAGAUCCACAAUCCUAUGAAGCUCCAAGGCUCCCUCUGCAGGAGACUUUGAUGUAUGACACUCAAUGUACUGAUCCCAAUAAUACCACCUGCUAUACCUACUGAUUCUAAUAAUGUCCUACCAUACCUUCUCAGAGUGCCAAUGGUUCAUAAUCACCAUCGUAACCUAUACCUAUUAAUUGUCCUGAGUGUGAUUUGACACACUGACAAGGUUAUUUACCAAAGUGAGAAAGUGAAUUUCAAAUUUAAGGUGUAAAUAGAGGAACUGGGACAAUUCUCCAAGUCAGUUAUGCUUUCACUUUAUCUACUCUUGGCUUAAAUUUCACAUAUACAUUGAAUUCACCUUGAAGUCUCACUUUAGUGGAUAACCCUGUGUGAGUGGACCUGUGACAGUAGUUUCAGUGUGGCUAAUAGCAGUUGACUCCAUUUCAUUUUAUUAAUGUCAAUCUAUCCAACCUUGGAUGGCAAUGAUUGGCUGAGAUCUCGGCUUACCUGGUUCUUGCAAUGCAACAGAUGAACUUACCAACCUGAGACAGAUAUAUCACAGAUAACUGGCUCUAGCCUACAUUAAUAAGAGAAACUUUCCCUCUCUGGAAAAUUGUUUCUUUAAAGAAGACAGGUAGAGUUCAGUUCUGUACAUUGAGCACAUUGGCUUUAAAGCGACACUAAGCACCAAAACAAGGUAUACUGUUUGCACAGGUACGUAUAUAAAGGUACAAUGAGAGGUGUAGUUAUAAACUCACCCACUUAAUAUUUAAUUACUGGUAUAUUUACUUGUACAUAUAAUUUGUGGCAUUACUUACCUCCACCAAACUGCGCAGACCCCCUCCUGCCGCACGGUCCAAUCGCGCGGAAAACUGAGGGAGACUCACCUCCCUCGAUCCUAGGCGACCCCCUCCUGUCACGCGGUCCAAUUGCGCAGCAAACUGAGGGAGACUCACCUCCCUCGAUCCUAGACGAUCUCCUCCUACCGCGCAGUCUGACUGAAUUAUGCGGCCGCGUGGCAGGACGUCUAUUUAUAGAUGUGGAUUCUUAAAGUGUCCACAUCAUCAUUGCAAGACUAAUCUGUUUUGGAUCACAGUGAUGACAUGGACCUAUCAGAACAUAGGUAAGCCUAUUUAAGGCUUGUUUUUAGCCCAUUCAUUGCCCUAUUAUGGUUUCUGUUAGAACCUUGUUUAGUGCUCCUAGUGAUUCUCUUGUGAUUUCCUGUGUUUGACCUCGGCAUCAUAUUUGAUUCGCGAUUUCUGGUAUCCUGACCUCGGCUUCGUAUUUAAAUCGUGAUUUCUGUUAUCCUGACCCCGGCUUCGUAUUUGACUCGUGAUUUCGGGUAUCCUGACCAAGGCUUCGAAUUUGACUCGUGAUUUCGGGUAUCCUGACCUCGGCUUCGAAUUUGACUUGUGAUUUAUGGUAUCCUGACCCGGCUUUGUCUUGACUCUGAGUAUUCCUGUUAUUUCUGUCCUUGAUUUAUUCUUGACUCUGAUUCUUGUUGUUUAGUUACGUUUAGUCCGGCCAUUCUAAGGCUUGGUAAUACGUCUUUCGGAUCCACCUUUUGUGGUUUCCUCUUUCCUGCAUGUUGGGUUAUGACUCCCGUGACAUAAUUGAAUCUCACUAAACCUACUUAAAUAACCUGCUCAUCAACAGAGGUGGCUCUCUAAUUAGGUGGUUUAGGCGGCCACCUAAGGUUUCGUGCUGGCUGGGGCCCCGCAGCCACCUAAACCGCCUUAUGGCAAACUGUGUCAGGUCCUCGGUCACUGACACCAGGAGGGGGCCCGACGGCUUGCCCGGUAUGCCGCCAGGUGCGAGGACCCUCCAGGCUGCCUGGCCGGAGAGCACCUGUAGCCGUUGGUCUGCAGCUCCGUGCAGUGUGCAGAGCUGCAGACCAAAUAUCUUGCGAGAUCUGUCCAAUCGGAGCAUUGCUGUGGGUUACCACGGCAACGCUCUGACCGGGUCUCGCAAGAUACUUGGUCUGCAGCUCUGCACACUGCGCGGAGCUGCAAACCAGACAUCGCCACCGGAACCACCAGGGAAUGCAGGUAUUUAGUCCCCCCUCCCAUACCACUAUUGCCCCCUCCCUCCCAGUAACCCCCUUCAAUAUACACCCUCCCUCCCUCCCAGUAACCUCCCUCCCAAUAUACCUCCUCCCUCCCAGUAACCCCCUUCAAUAUCACCCCCUCCCGAUAUAUCCCCUCCCUCUCAGUUACCCCCUUCAAUAUCACCCAAUAUCCCCCAUCACAGUAUUACCCCCUCCCUGUCAGUACUACCGUCUCCCUUACACUAUCACCGCCCUACCUCACACUAUCACCCCACCAACUCCCAGCAUUCCCCCCUCACACUAUCACCCCCUCCCUCACAGUAUCCCCCCUCCCUCACAGUAUUUCCUCACUUACAGUAUUACCGUCCUUCCUCACAGUAUUACCCCCUCUAGCACAGUAUUACCCCCUCCCUCACCCCCUCCCUCACAGUAUCCCACCCCCUCCCUCACAGUAUUACNNNNNNNNNNNNNNNNNNNNNNNNNNNNNNNNNNNNNNNNNNNNNNNNNNNNNNNNNNNNNNNNNNNNNNNNNNNNNNNNNNNNNNNNNNNNNNNNNNNNGGGCACUAUAGGGAUAGAUGGGGAACAGGGUUACUAUAGGGGUAGAGGGGGGCACUAUAGAGAUAGAUGGGGAACAGGAUUACUAUAGGGGAAGAGGGGGGCACUAUAGAGAUAGAUGGGGAACAGGAUUACUAUAGGGGAAGAGGGGGGCACUAUAGGGAUAGAUGGGGAACAGGGGUACUAUAGGGGAAGAGGGGGGCACUAUAGGGAUAGAUGGGGAACAGGGUUACUAUAGGGGUAGAGGGGGGGGCACUAUAGAGAUAGAUGGGGAACAGGGGUACUAUAGGGGGAGCAGGUCUCACUUACCAGGCAGCAGAUUCAGGCCUCGGUUAGCUCCGCCCCCGCCGACCACUUGGCUCCGCCCCCAUCGGCUGCUUGGCUCCGCCUCCUACAGUCUCUUUCGCUGCUAAGCCCUGGUAGAGGGCAGGGGGUGUGCAAGCUGUCAGCCAUAGGGCGCCCCCUGCUGCCAUGGCGCCCUGUGCGGCCGCACAGCUCGCACACCCCUAAGGCCGGCCCUGCCGACGACGGCUCAGGACCGUCAUAAUUACUUACCCGAUCGCCACAAUCGGCAUUGCUCCAGGUCUGGGGGGACUGUCUGACAGCCCCCCUCUGCAAUUUACGCCUGCAUUGGCCAUGCAAUCGCUCUAACAGAGCGGUCACAUGGCCGCAAUAGGCAUCCAAGUAUCUGCCUGCAGGGGGACUGCCUGUGCUGACAGGCAGUAUCCCUGCUGCUGGAAAAUGAAAAAUAUAAAUAAAAAUGUUAGUAAAUAAAAAAAAUAUAUAUGUAUAUAUUUCUUGUAUAUAUAAUGUCAUACUAAGUUUAUUUUCAUAUUAAUAUAUACAUAUAUUAAUAUAAAAAUACACUUAUAAUUAAAUUACACACGUAUGUAUAUCAUAUAUAUAUUUAAUAACUAUAUAUUGCGUAUAUAUUAUUAUAAAAUAUAAAUAAUAGGUAAAUACAAAUAAAUUAAAAAAGUAAAAAUAAUUAGAGGGCGUGGCCGACUACGGAGCUGAGUAGUCGCUUAUCUGUGGAGCUCUGCUUCGGCCCCACAGAUUAAGAGUCCUAACGCAGAGAAAUCCGCUCCAAUACCACACAGCUUACCUGCCACCCGACAGCUGACAACAUGGGACGCAAACAUAAAAGGCAAAUCCACAUAGAGCGACCCGCGGCACCCGAUUUUAGGCUUGCGUUCCAGAGGCCUACACAGACGCGGCCCGCCAAGAUGGCGCCGGAACCGCAGAGUGAGCUGGAAACCUCUGACGACUCCCAGGAAGAGAGGGACUCCCAAGCCUCACUCCCAGGCCCAACUCACAGGUCUGAUUCAGAGGAGGAUGACUCCCCAUCCACAAAAGGGGACAUCAGAAAGCUGCUGACAGACCUCAGACAGAUCUGGAAGGCCGAUUUAAAGGAGACCCAAGCUGAAAUAGGGGUCUUACAGCAGAGAGUCCAGGAGGUGGAGACCAGAGAAAAAUCCAGAGAUAACCAACUCCAAGACACCAAACAGCAACUGGACGGACUUACUGAGCAGGUCCGACGCCUACAAGGAACUGUGGUAACACUUGAGACCAGAUACCGCCUCUGCAACAUACUCCUCAGAGGUAUCCCUGAAACUGUGGAUGGAGAAGACCUACUGCCCUUUGUUCGGAGACUUAUCUCCUCCAUGGGCCUCAGGUGUAACUUAGACACCCCACUGAUACUAUCCACCUUCCGGGUGCGCAAAUCGCCAGCAGCACCCGUGGGCGCCCCCAGAGACACAAUAGCUACCACCAGAGACAUAGCUGCGAGAGCUGCCAUCAUGGCUGGAGCAAUACCAUUGGGGUCGGUGAAAUUUGAGGAAUGCGAGGUGGCCAUGUACAGUGACCUCCCUUUUGCCGUGCUUGCCGCAAGGAGACAACUGGCACCGGUCGCUAAAAGACUGAGAGAACAAUCGGUCCGUUACCGUUGGGGCACAGAAGGUUCAUUGAUGGUGCAAAAGGGCACCGACGUACUCACUUUGACCUCAGGAAAAGACUCAGAGAUGUUCUUCAAAAAGCUAGACACGUUAGCCAAUGGACACGGCAAGCGGACUGAGAAACGCAACACUUAAUUAUUAUUAUAGUGAUGUUUAUUAUUAUAGUAAUGUUUUUCAUGUGUAUAUAUGUUUAUAGGGUCAGGGGGAGUAUCCAUAUACUUUUAACCCACUAAUCCAAGCCUUUGCCCUAAUUACCUGACUUCGCAUACACAGAAUAAGUCUGUAGAAAAUGCUAGAAUCACGCAACCUCACUGAACAGGGGUCUCCAUAUAAAGAUAGAAACGUGUAACCUGGUUCCUCGCAAUGCUACCGUACAUACUUAACUGAUAUUUAACCGAUACCGUGAUUAUUGCUAUGUUUGUAACCCAACGAAAUGUUACUAGAUCCUGUUAUAACCCAUAUAAUAACCCAUAUAAUGGAAAAAUGUAUACUGUGUGUACAAAACCCAAUAAAACACAAAUUAAAAAAUAAAAUAAAAUAAAAAAAGUAAAAAUAAUAAAAAUAAAAUAAAAAGUAAUAUGUAAUUUUAUUCUAACUGUAUUUUGAUAUUAAUAUAUAUAUCAAAAUACACUUAGAAUGAAAUCGUAUUUCGUAUUAUUUUUAUUUAUUUAUAUAUAUAUAUAUAUAUAUAUAUAUAUAUAUAUAUAUAUAUAUAUAUAUAUAUAUCCAUAUACAUAAUCACAUUAAUAAUUUCAAUAUAUAAAUAUGUAUAUAUAUAUUUAAAUUCUAUGUGCAUAUUUAUGUAAUAAUUUUACAUAAUUAAAGGACCACUAUAGUGCCAGGAAAACAAACUCAUUUUCCUGGCACUAUAUAGUCCUUAGAUCCCCCCCACCCUCAGGUAAAAACCCCUUCAGCCACUUACCUUAAUCCAGCGCCGGGCUCCCUUGGUGCUGGUGACCUUUCCUCCGUCUCCAACAUCAGCUCCCGAAUGAAGCCUAACGCAUGCGUGGCCAAGUUUUACCGCAUGUGCGGUAACUUUCCAUUGCACCCUAAAACCUGUACAUGGGGAGGGGGUACUGUUUUACUCGGGAGGCUUUGUUGAACACAAAUAUUAGUGUUUCAAAACAGUAAAACAUAUCACAGGGAUGAUAUUGUCAGUGAAAGUGACUUUUUUUGCAUUUUUCUCACACAAACAGCACUUUCACUGAUAAUAUCAUUGUUGUGAUAUGCUUUACUGUUUUGAAACACUAAAAUUUGUAACAGUACCCCUCAUGUACGGGUUUUAUGUCGUUUUUUAAAGUUACAGGGUCAAAUAUAAGGCUUGAUUUUCAGUUUUUUUCAAUUUGCCAGAUUGGUUAUGUUGCCUUUGAGAGCGUAUGGUAGCCCAGGAAUGAGAAUAACCCCCAUGAUGGCAUACCAUUUGCAAAAAAAGACAACCUAAGGUAUUGCAAAUGGGAUAUGUUCAGUCUUCUUUAGUAGCCACUUAGCGUUUUUUGCAUUUUUUUAUUUUAUUUUUAUUUUUUAUUUUUUUUUUUUUUUUUAAGAUUUUUUUUUUUUUAUAUUCUUUAUUUUUGAACAUGCAUGAGGUUACAUUGCAUCCUGCAUUGCCACAACAGCAAAUGCAAGGAUUUGCGAUACAUUCAGUGAUACAUGUGAAAUAAUAGUGAGGACUACUAGAGAUAAUACUUGCAUCAUUUAGGAAAACAGCAUGAAAUUUUAUAUUUAACGAUUAAGCUAGCAACAGUAUUGUAGAUACAACAUGAGUUAGUCAAGGUAAUGUAGACUUAACUAGUGGCUCAUUUUUAAGUUAGAGAUCAUGCAGGCUAAACGUAAACAGGCUUAGUUAUGUAGCUAUACAGUAGGUUCAGUAACUUCAGUUAAGAUGUAGUGUGGAAUAAGAGUGUACGUUGCUGUGAGUGCCGUAUACAUUGCGCUAACUUGCGGUCACUGGUAGAUACAACUUAUAGAUUAACUUUUAUACUAUGUCUAGGUAGGUCAUAUUAUGAAGACUAGUGGGGUUACACAAUGUGGGGCAACUGUCACCCUGAUGGAUCGUAGUUCCCAGAGCUGCCUCCGUGUGGGGGAUAUCGGUAUUCUGGUGGUCCCAAGGCCACUCAGACAGGGGUAGUCCCGCUUUUAUCAGAUACCUCUUCUGCUGUGUUCAGGUGGUAGGGGGCAAGUGUCCAUCAGAGCAGGCAUCAGAGUGUACUUUGUCCUCAUAGACUCCUGCAUAGUUCUUUGGGUGAAUUCGAGUUGCAGCCUUGGCGCUUGCCGUCUUCCCUUGUCUGCAGGCUGAUGUCCGCCAUGCGUGAGAGCUGGGCUUUGUCCAUGGGAGUCCGCCGCUUUCGGGGUAAUCCUGUUAUAGGCUGAGUGGUAAGUGAGUGCUUCCGGCAGAGGUGUCAUGCCGGGCAGCUGGCGCAGUUACCCCAGGCGGGGAUCGGUUGCUGUUAGGAGUUCCGCCCUCCCGGUGCAGCCGCAAACUCCCGCUUGUUCCGGUCGCCCAUGCAUCUAGUUGCUGGCUUGGGUGAUAAGGGUAGGCUCUGUGUUUGCCGUUUCCCUAUGUAGUGGGAUCGGGAUGUGGGAGCUGUUUUUGGUGUGAUCAUGAGGAGGUGGGAGGUGUUCCCCUUGUUGUCUGCGUGCAAGACGCCCGCCAUUUUGGAGGCAGCAGUCGGGCUUCUCAGCCUCAGUCGCGGAGUUACAUUCAGGGCCGCAGGGUGAGGACCGGGAUCACCCCCCCGGUCCAUAGGGGGGGGAACGGAGCCGGAUCCGCGCCGGUCUGUACCGUUGGUCUGGUUCUGUGGUGCAGGAUAGUGAGGCAGCGGCCGUCUGCCUCACUCACCGCCGGAGAAGGCCCGGGUUGGGGCAACAUGUUUUUCUCCCCCAGGGGACUGAAGCUCAGUGAGCCAGCCUCUCCCCGGGUCCAGCAGUCCCUCGGCUCUGGGUAUCUUCGCGGUUGAUCAGGUUUUAGGUGGUAAUCAGCGUUUUUAGCAGUGAUUAUGUAUUGUGUUACUGGAGCUGGUCUGACUUGCGACCGUCCAGCCUGGCGGUCCGGCCCCGCCCCCGUUUUUUGCAUUUUUAACACACAAACAAAUAUAAAUGCUAACUUUGGCCAGUGUUUGUGACUAAGUGGCUACUAAAAAAGACUGGACAUACCCCAUAUUGAAUACCCUGGGUUGUCUACUUUAUAAAAUAUGUACAUGUGAGGUGUGAUUCACUAUUUAUACAUUUUAAAAAUAUAUAUUUUGAAACAGCAAUAUCCUACUUGUACUUAUAGCCCUAUAACUUGUACACAAAAAAAGCAAAAACACAGGUAAACACUGGAUGUUUUUAAACUCAGGACAUUUUGAAUCUAUUUAGCAGUUUUUUUCAUUAACUUUUGUAGAUGAGUAAAAGAUUUGUCAAGUAAAAGUCAAAAAACAUGUUUUUUGUUUUCAAUUUUUUACCAUUUAAAAUGUAUUUUUUUUUAAAGUAAAUUACAUGACAUGAUAGAAAUAAUGGUAUGUAAAGAAAGCCCCUUUUGUCCUGAAAAAAAAAACCAAUAUAUAAUUUGUAUGGAAACAGUAAAUGAGAGAGAGGAAAAUUACAGCUAAACACAAACACCACAAAAGUGUUAAAACAGCCCUGGUCCUUAACGUACAACAUGGCCAAAAUAACCCGGUCCUGAAGGGGUUAAAGCAGCCGAAUUGAAAAAAUUCAGCUAUACUUUCCUUUCAGCUGCUCUGGACUUAAAUUCAUUUUAGUGAAUAAUCCUGUUAGUUCUGGGCAAAAACACAUGCAGAGGCCAGUUCAUUAGCUGCAUAGACAAAUUCUGCAUCUAUAUAAAAAAAAGUAAGUUUUUAAAGGCUUAGGAAAUAUUGAAGCAAAUUUUAGUAACUGGAUAUUUUUUGCAAUAAUUAAUUAUACACACUAAAAACAUGUAUUUUAGAACAUUAGAGUUUCCCUUUAAAGGGACACUAUAGCCAUCUGAACAACUUUAGCUUAAUAAAGCAGUUUUGGUGAAUAGAACAUGCCCCUGCAGCCUCACUGCUCAAUCCUCUACCAUUUAGGAGUUAAAUCCCUUUGUUUAUGAACCCUAGUCCCACCUCCCUGCAUGUGACUUGCACAGCCUUCCAUAAACACUUCCUGUAAAGAGAGCCCUAUUUAAGCUUUCUUUAUUGCAAGUUCUGUUUAAUUAAGAUUUUCUUAUCCCCUGCUAUGUUAAUAGCUUGCUAGACCCUGCAAGAGCCUCCUGUAUGUGAUUGAAGUUCAAUUUAGAGAUUGAGAUACAAUUAUUUAAGGUAAAUUACAUCUGUUUGAAAGUGAAACCAGUUUUUUUUUUUUUUCAUGCAGGCUCUUUCAAUCAUAGCCAGGGGAGGUGUGGCUAGGGCUGCAUAAGCAGAAACAAAGUGAUUUAACUACUAAAUGACAGUGAAUUGAGCAGUGAAAUUGCAGGGGAAUGAUCUAUACACUAAAACUGCUUUAUUUAGCUAAAGUAAUUUAGGUGACUAUAGUGUUCCUUUAAAAGUAGGUAUAUAUUGUUUUGAGUUGAAUGGGGACUUGUUAAAUUAUACUAUACUGUGACAGCCACCGUCAAAAACUAACUAGUUUACAUCUAGUCUAAAAAAGAAACAUAUGGUAAAAAAGCAAAAUAAGAAAAUAAGAUUAAAAUGCCAAUGCAAAACGAUAGUAUAAAGUAGUGAUAACUUUUAAACACUAGGUGGCGCUCUUGCAAAAGCGUUGUGUUUUGUAAUACAGUUUAACAAUCAUACAUAAUAUAAAACAAACAAAAUGUAAAAUGAAAAAUAAAGAUAUUAAUCUUUAAACUCUAUCUAGACAUGGAAAUGGCUAAAAUCUCUCACUUCUAUUGUUAACAGUGGCAGUACUCUCAAUAGAUUAAUGAAAUAUAUGUUCUGCAGCAAUCAAGUAGUAGAUUCAUUCCUGUGGAAAAAAACCAAAAUCAGUCUGUUUGCUGGGGGCUUCCUCUCUUAACAUACCAGUAGCUUAAUUUAUGUGUUUACGGUAGCUCCAGCUGGGCAUCCAUGCAGUACAUGCACUCCCAGAGACAGUUACAAGAAAGCAUGUUAAUGUUAGAUUGUACUCGUUGAAAGGAAGGAAAGGUCCCAGUAUUUCAUCACUAGAAAAACGUAAAUCUAGCCUCCUGUAUGUUUUACCUCUACUCCAUUUCUUCUCUUUUACUGCAAUUACAUUUUUGUACAUUAAAGGGACACAUAGUCACCAGAACAACUGCAGCUUAUUCAGCGCUUGUAAAUUACUGGGGGGCAGUUUAGUCACCAGGUCCGGAGUCUCUCAUGUCCAGCAGAAAAGAACAAACGCAGAAUGUGUCCUUGGGAAUAUGUAGAUGAAAAAAAAGAAGAAACUGAUAGUGUGAUAUGUAAAAUACGAUAUAAAAGCAAAUAAUAAAAAUUGUCCACACACUUUUCAGGAGCUUGGGUUCAGCUCCAACUAUCUCGCUUUGGCAGAAUGAUCCCCACCUAGGGAUAUAGUGUAGUCCACAGGUCUGUCAGCAGGUCCUCCUCUGUGUCGAUUUGUUCAUCAGCAUGUAGGGACUGAAGAAAAUACUAUGCUGUAGGAUGUCAGACCAGAACAACAGUAGGUAAGGUAGAUAUAUAAAUUGUGACUCACAUGUUUUGGAGCCUGAACGUCGGCUCCUCAAAUACAGUGUAGGGUGGUAUGAUCCCCACUGCAGGAUAUAAGUGGUGGUGGCGUCUCUCUGUGUAUAAGAAAAAAGAAAGGAGAAAAAACACAAUAGUGUGUUACUGUAAAAACUGAGAUGUUAAAAAUUCUACUCACAUUUAGUGGAGCAAAAAAAGGUUUGCUCAGUCCAGAAGGCGUUGGUGGUUUUGUGUCCCCACCGAGGAUCUAGACGUGUAUGAAUCCAAUGUAAAAGUAUUGGUGGGAUUAAAAAUCUCACAGAUAUGGAGUAGAUAGUAUGGAUAGAGAUACCACUCAAACUGAAAAUAAUGGGGUUACCACCAAACCCUGAAGUGCAAAUGAAUAUAGAAUAUUAGAUAUGCUCUAAUAAGUAUCCAGGAGUGAUAUAGGAUAUGUAUCUUUUAAAACAUUAAGUAAGUAGAUUGGCUUAAAAUUAGUACUUGUAAAAUUAAUGAUAGUAAAAUGGAUCAAAAAGUCAAUAUUGGCAUUAAGUCACUAUGUGAAAGUCCACAAAUAUAGCAACAUAUGUGAUCAAAUACAAAUAAAAAAUAUGUGUUGAAAAAGUCACUGAAAAAAAUGAAUGAAAAGUCCACAGUCUUUGCAACAAUAAUGCUGUUUGAAACUGUGAUUGUAAAUAGUUUUCACAAUGUUAGCUUGUAGCAGUUAGCCUCAAUUACAGAGUUUGACUGGGGUUUAUCUGCUAAACAAGUUUUUUGAAUAUAGUACAAAAGACAGAUAUCGUCUUCCUUAAAUGCUGUAAGUUGUAAUAAUGUACACUGCUUAUUACUGUAAAAUACUUAAAGAUCAUACAUUAGGAUCCUAAUUAAUGAAUGAUGCCUUCGAUCUACAAUGAAACAAAAUCAGAAUCCAUAGUGUUUGCUGCAUAUAAAAAGGCUUUUAAUCAAAAUUAGUGAUAUUAAAAUUGCUCCCACAUAUUGGUUGGGUAUCAAUGUCCUGAAAUUGAAAUAGAAAUGUAGAAAUAUUUUCCUCACUCCUGUCCAAAAUACAUGUUAUUUAUUUUAUGCCUUUAAGACAUCCCACCAUAUGAGAAUAAGAGGUUAUGUUUUGGCGCCGUGAAAAUAUUCUGUAGGAAGUUCUAUAAAUACCUCUGAAUAUAUAUAUUUUUCCAAACAUUUUAUUUUUUUUACACCACCCCCCCAGGAUGUGACACAGAUACCAGGCUGCCUGGCAGAGGUCCAUUAAUUGCUAAUUCACACCAACAAAAAGGAGACGGUUAACCGGACAGGGGUGUUAUAAGUAGAACGCACAAUUAUAUGCAGUUAAACUAUAUAUUAUCUCGCCAGAGCUGUACAUUCAAUGUGUAUCUUUAGCCAAGAGAAACAAUUUUUGUGAUUAAAUAGAUUCAAACUUAUUUCUGUGAUUUUGUAUCUAGUGUCAUGUGAAUAAGUAUCAUGAAAUAUAAGCAGGAAUUGGAAUGCUAUCUAUCUAUCUAUCCAUCCAUCUAUCUAUCUAUUCUUUAUUGAUGAAGGCAUCAAAGAUAAAACUUUAAUAAACAAAUAGUAGUGCUAUUAAUGAACAGGUUACCAUAGUGAUGUUUCCACCUGCCUUGUAUACAUUUCCUGGUUAUCAUACCUCCUGAGAUGCUUUUUCCAUUUUGUAACCAUUUUCAUAAAAUUUUCCAUUCCCCUUAUUUAUUUUGGAACCCACCUCUGCACUUCUUCCUCAUGCAUACCGGUUACAAGCUGUCAAUCUUACUAUAGUAAGCAUAGGUGUGUACCAGUGUGUAACAUAUUUUGUCCCAGUAUAUAGGUAAUAUUUCUUCCUUCAAGUUAGUGAAAUGGCCUAAAUAAUAGCAUCUUUCCUAUCCUACUUACCAUACAUCCCCUUGUUUUUCACUUCUUCUUUAUUUUUCUAGAAUUUAGGACACAAAGUAAAUACUAUUAUUAUUAUUAUUAUCAUACAAUGUUCUAGUAUUCAUACAUCUGUAAGUUGCUGCUUAUUGUUAGAACCUAACUUCCCACUGCUUCAAAUGCUUUAUCAGUGGGGAACAACCUGGAUCACAGCAGUCACACUAAUUUCUGAGUGUGUGAGAGAAUGCUUAUGGGUCUGUCAGUGAGUGUGUGUCUGUCUGUGAUUGUGUGUAGGUCUGUCAGUGAGUGUGUGUGUGUUCAUGAAUGUGAGUGUCUGUUAGUGUGUGUCAAAUUAGUGAAAGUGUAUGUCUGUCAGUGACAUUUGUGUGUGUCUGUCAGAGUGUGACAAAGCAGCGAGGGUGUGUGUCUGCCAGUGAGUGCAUGAGUCUAUCAGUGUUUGUGUGUCUGUGAAUGUGUGUGUGUCAGUGAAUGAGUGUGUGUUUAUGUGAGUAUGUGUCCGUCAGUGAAUGUGUGUCUGUCACUGAAUGUGUUUGUGUGUCUGUCAGUGGGUGUCAACUUAGUGAGAGUGUGUGUUUGUCAUUCAAUGUGUGUGUGUCUCAAAUCAGUGAGGCUGUGUCUGUCAAUGAGUGUGAGGCAGUAAGGCUGUGUAUGUCAGUGUAUCUGUAUCUGAUAGUAUGUGUCUGUCAGUGAGUGUGUGUGUGUCAGUGUAUAUCUGUAAGUGACCGUGUGUGUGCUAGUGACUGUGUAUCUGUCAGUGAGUUUAUGUCAUCGUAUCAGUAAGUUGGCAUGUGUCUGUUAGUGAAAGUGUGUGUUGGUUAGAUAGUGUGUGUACCAAUGAGCGUGUGUAUGGGUCAGUGAGAUUGUGCGUGCUUAAAAGGAUGGAAAUUAAUUUAAAAAUAGUUUUAAUUGGCAUCUAGUAUAUACUGCCCAGUAUAGUUAUACCUAUCUAGGAUUUCACAUAUACUGUUCAUACUAUGCAUAGAAAGGGAUAGAUAUGUAUACCCUUUAUUGUUGUAUUGUCAGGUGUGUAGUAUGUCUAACUGGUCGUAUGUGUUGCAGAUGUGGUCAAGGAGCCCUAAAGAGAAAUAUAGAUUAACUGAUGGUUAGAAUCCUAACUAUUAAUGCCCAAGGCCUCAACUCUUAUCUUAAACAAGGAUAUUUGUUCAAUACUCUGGUUCUACAUCCAGAUGGUUCUAUGGUUCAUAUAUGGUGGUCCUGCCAUCGAAUUAAAUCUCUUUGGACGAUUACAUAUGAAUUUAUAAAUAGAAUUGGAGGUAUUUAUUUGGAAUUCAAACCGGAAGUCGCCCUACUCCAACUUUUGGGUUUAGAAAUGAAGGAUAAUCUUGAUAUUGUGAUUACACACUGUUUAAUGGCUACUAAAAUAUUAAUUGCUAGAUUUUGGAAAAGCACUGAUAUUCCUACGAGAGAUCAAGUUAAAGCCCAACUUCUAUUCCAAGUCGAGAUGGAAAAGGGGUUAAUGUCCAUGAGAGAAUAUCCUAAUUUUAAUUCUCUGAUGUUUUAUUCUAGUCUUGUUGAAAAAAUUAAUGGGGUUUGAGGAGGUGGGGUACUGCUUACGAUCACCUUAUGGUUAAUCUGAUCGUUUUUUUUCAACGGGUUCUAUUGUUGGGCUCCUUGUCCUCAUACUGUAUUACUUAAGUGUGGUAGUGGAUCUGCAAUACAUAUGACCAGUUUUGUCUUUGUUUUUGUCUGUCUUAUCUAUAAGGUUUUUAAGGCCGAUUUUGGACCAUGAUAUCCACUCGAUGGGACUUUAAUGUUAUUGUAUUAUUGUGUUCUAGACGGCCUAUUGAUGAAUUUUGAAAUAGAAUAAUAUACCUUUGUAUGUUUAAUGGGGAUAAGAGUCCUUAAUUUUUCUUUGUAAGGUUCUUCCCCCGAGAUGUUGUUAUGUUUAUUAUUAUUCUCAUGAAAAAAUCUAAUAAAAAGAAUUGAAAUAAAAAAGAUAUGUAUACCCUUGAUCACUGUAGAAAUGUGCAGUAUAUUAGACAGCUCAUUGAAGUAGUCUAGAUGCGGUGUGCCAGUCCCACUUAGUCCUGCAAUGUAAUUCAUUGCCGUUUUUGAGAAACUGAAAGACGGGCCUCUAGAGGCAGUUCCUGGUGGCUAACUGACUUUUUGGCUCUAGAUGAGGAUGUCCAGCGUCAGUUAAAUCCUUAUAGGAAAGCAUUGCAGCAAUACUUUUCUAUGGGGAAGGCCUAAUCCUCUCACCCCCCCCCUUGUCAGAUGCCCCAGUACCAAGAGAGAUCGGUGCUGGAAUCAAGGAAGUGUUAAAAGGGUUUUUAAUCCUUGGUGGAGAGCAGGGGGCUCUUUGGUGUAAGGAAUACAUCUUUGUAUUCGUUACACUAUAAAAUCCCUUUAAAUAAGCCUGUAAUGUUUUUUUCUAAUGCUGAUGUGGGUUUUUUCUGCUCAAUUCAUGUGAUAUGUGGUAAUAUGCAUAUAUGUGUGUGUGUGUAUGUAUGUCCAUAUGUAUGUGCACGUACACCUACCAGUCAAUUAAAUCCUCAACAUUCGGCCUAUGUGCCGAAUAGAUUGAGUGACAGUUGAUCCUCUCUCUUCCUGUCAAUGUGUUUCUCCCCUGGCAGGCGCUUGCUAGAGGAGUAUGGGAUGCACUGACGCCAGUGAUCUGGUAGUGAAGCUAGCAUGUUAGCUUUAGCACAGGGGAUUGCCAUGCUAAAGGAAGUGACCCCAAGAAGGGCCAAUAACUCCACGCUUACACACAGCCAAACCGCAUAUACAAUCACACUUAGCCAGCCACACACAUACACACAAUUACACUCCACCAACUCCACACACACAUAUUACAGUCAGCCAACCAAAGCAAAUAGACUCAAUCAAGCCCUACACAAAUUCACACUCCGCCAACCCCCGCACAAUCACACUUAGCCACCACACGCCUCCCACUCAGGUGUAUUGCUUAUGGGGCAGCAAGGAGAAUGUUAAGGGGGCACACUGCCCUGUGAUUCCUAGUUACUCCCCUGUGCUUUAUAAUAAUUGUCUGCAUUAUUGUUGAUAUAGUAUUGACUCUGUACCAAAUCUCUCUUUUUAAUAAUAAAUAAAAACUAUACUAUAAAAACUAUUGCUUAUUCAUGUCUUUAUAGAGACAUGACAGCGGAGGGGUCAUUGCCCAGGACAGCUGAUAAAAUCAUCUGUCAUCUCCCCCAAAUCUCUCCAGGGACUCUGCCCAAUCCUUUGUCACAUGUGUGGUCAAAUGGCAGACAGUACGUCACCGCUGGUCACGAGAGGUACUUAAGGCAGCCCGGAUAUUUAUAAACAAUCCUGCUAUGUAUAAUUACAUGACCAUGACCUGGCACUGUGUAUUUUACCACCAUGACAAUGCACAGGGAGAGACUGUGUUAAGAAAUGCAAAAAUAACCCAGUGUGAUCUCAUGACGGAUUGGGAGAGUGAAGCUGCAGGAGAUGCUUGAGGUGACAAAUAAAAAGUACAUUGAUAUUAAUAUGUAAAACAAACAGAGUUAAUUCUGGUUUUGGCUCUGACUGAGAAACCGAAUAGAAGUCUCUUUCACUAAAAAGUUGAGUAGCUUAGAUCUAAAAAUACGUAUUCCAGGUUAUUCAUUAAAUUAUGAAUUGUUAGAAAUUUAUUAUAGGUUAUUCAAUAAAAUGAAAACUGUUAUUAUUAUUAUUAUUGCCAUUUAUAUAGCGCCAACAGAUUCCGUAGCACUUUACAAUAUUAUGAGAGGGGGGAUUUAACUAUAAAUAGGACAAUUACAAGAAAACUUACAGGAACGAUGGGUUGAAGAGGACCCUGCUCAAACGAGCUUACAGUCUAUAGUCUGUUGUGAAUUCAAAGUGAAUUUGAAAUGUUAGACCAAAAGCAUAACUGAUUGGAGAAUUUUUCCAAGUCAACAAUUUUUGCCUUAAAUUUUAAAUUCACUUUGAAUUAAUUUAGAUUUCCUCACAAUUCUCACAUUAUUUAUUUAUUUAUAAAAUAUUUUAACAGGAAAAAUACCUUGAGCUUGAGAUUUCUCUUGUUUUUUAGAGUAUGUCCUGGUCCCAUAAACAAUGCAUUGUUACAAUAAGGUACUAUAUAAUAUUACAAACACAAUAUACAAUAUAUAUACAUUGUACAUACAUAAAUACACACAUAUAUAAAUUAAACACACACCAGGUAAUAAAUAUAGUCAACCAUGACAGGUGCAUUUGUAAAUAACCCUGAAAGAAUUAAACAUUUAGCCCAUAAUAGCCAACUGAAGACAUAAUUAAUGUAUAAUUGAGCAUCUGUGGGAUGUGCUGAAAAUACCAAACCGAUCAAUGUACGUCACACCUCUUACCAACUUACAGGACUUACUGGAUCUGCAUCUGCUACUAGACACCACUAGACACAUUCAGAUGUCAUGUGGACUUCAUGCCUCGAAUCAUCAGAGCUGUUUUGCCAUCACAAGGGGGACCUCCAUAAUAUUAGGCAGGUGGCUUUAAUGCUGUGGCUGAUUAGAGUAGAUAAUAAUACUAGGAUCUUUGCUAAAGUUAAGUACGUGCAGGUAGCAUGUGUGGUUGCACGUGUGAUAGGGGUCAAGCUUAGGGGGAGGUGAAAGCUAUGAGUAAAAUUUGCUACUUCAUACUCCUAGCAACAAUAGGAGUGAAACUAGAACAUGCUGGGUGUAGGGCUAGCAGGAGUUAUAUCAUUACUGCUAGGUGUGGUACAUGGGACACAUGGCAGCCAUAUUUGGCCUAACUGGGCAACUACAUACAAGGAACCCAAUCCAAGACCAAAUUUGCACAUUAUUCCACUGUGCUCUACUCCCUUCCCUACUUUUAUAAGAAAUAUGUUUUUAUUAACGGAAACUAAGAACUAAAAUGCAAUAUUAGUAAAAAAAAAAAAAAUACAGUUCAUAAAAUAUUUUAUUAUUGUGCUGUUACAGAGCUCCCGCAAUCCCCUUUAUUACAGUUGUCUGGUGGGGCAAGCGCUCCCCUGUGCCCCAGGUCAAUCCUUGCCCCUCGUCUGCCCAAAAAAGCAAAGUGUCAAUCAAUAGAAGGGAUAUCCAUGUGAUCUUGCUUGAGCCGAAAGGCCAUGAAUUUGCCCUACAAACUGCAAAGACAUAUAAUGAUAUACAUUGAAUGUGGUUUUUCUGAGGAAUUCUCUCUGGUGACUCUAAAAAAGGACAUGGUGGAGCAAGAGUUUUUUUAAAACAAGGACUGUCUUGUCAGAUCCUGGAAACCUGUCUCAUAUUCUUUUUGGAAUCUCUUUUGUUACCAUCACAAAUGGUAUGAAGAUACAAAUGGUAUCACCAAUGGUAUGAAGAAAUCUAAACAAGUCAAUACAUCACCGGCAUCUUGAAAAUCUGUGGCCUUUAAACAUCAUAAUCCAUCGCAAUCAGGACUUAUCAUUCUUCUUUUCUGGUCUGGUCAUGACUGAGUAAAGGGGAAGUCUCCCUGUUUAUAUACAAAUGUACAUUUAAGUGAAAUAUUUCUUGCUAUAGUAAUUCGGUAUUCAUAUUUGCGAAAUCAUACUACCUCGCAUUAACAUCCAAGAACGACCACAGUAUGCACAGUAAGCAUGAUAAAUCUCAUUAUGUCUGGCAAAUAUUCAUGUUAUGCAUUUCCUAGCUGUCUUCAUAUCCUUUCACUAAGAUUUAUAGCUUCCUGUAGCUUAUUAAAUUCUCGAGAUUGUUUGAUAAUUUAGCUCCUCGAGUUUUCUCUUCUAAAGAGCACAAGAUAUAGCUGAUAAUAAACAAGUCACCAAAACAAACUUGGAGGGGGAUUGAAGAAAUAGCAAAACAUUUAGUAACAAAACGUGCCUUACUGCAGAAUCUCAUUGACUUAGAGGUCACAGUGGAGUAUAGGUUGUGUGGGCUGAUCCUUAUAAGUCACGCAGAAUCCAAUAUUGUAUCACAUACAGGAUUAUUUUUUUAUGAAAAUAGGAAUUCUAAGUGAAUUUCAGAUUCAGGGCCAGAGUGGCUGAACUGAAACUGACUUUACAUUUUUUUUUUUGUUUGGCUAUUUUACAUUUAAAUUAAAAGAAUCCUUUUUGUGAGUAACCUUGGCAUUCUCUGGUGUGGUCAUUGGACAAUGACACAUUCUCGUUUUAGUAUAGAAAGUGCAAAGAAAUGUGAGAGGCAGAGGAUUAACAAAUGAAUUGCAAAUUGUAAGCCAACUGAGCAAAUAUGUGGCUAGGGUUUCCUAAGUUUUCCUAAUCUAUUUUGACCUAACAUUACAAUAUCCUUGCCAGCGCUCCGCGAAGCAUGUUUUAAUGAAUUAUGCCCAGUACUUUUUUUUUUUCUUUUAAACAUUCUUUAUUUUGGAUUAUUUUUUAAUUUGUUUAAAUUUUUUUAAACAAUGAAAUUGCAGAGAGAAGAAUAAGAAAACUGUCAUUUGCAUUCAUUAGUAAAAAGGUCUAGGAUGUGGUCAGGUUCCGUACAAAGGUCGGAUCCAUAAAAUGAUAACAAUGUAUAGUAUAACACCACUCUUUACUUUUUCGCAGAGUAUUCGCUGUCAUUGAGCAAGGCUGUCGAAGUAAGUAGGAGGCCUUGAACAUUUAGUCCUCCCCGUUACAUAGGGCACAACAAGCAAGGGAAAGUCUAGAGCCUAAGGAGAAAGAGGAGAGGUAUGGAAAGGGUAAAAAAGGGAGGGGGGAUUGUGAUAGGAGAAAGGGGACCUGUAGGACCCGCAAUUGUGGCCUUAGGAAGGGAGACACAGUACACUUGUUUGUCUAAAGGGAGAAAAAAGCAUUGCAAAGUGUUUCAAACUGAUUCUUUAUUAUAUUGCUUGGCCCAGAAUAGUUUUUCACAUCAUCAUCUAAACUUUUCAAUUCAAUUUUAGGUUCUCUACAAUUUGUUGUGCAGUAAAUAAACCUGAAACUCUAUAUUUUCAGUAAAAAAAUAAUAAUAAUUUUCCCCAUCUGUACCUGUGAUGUAUUUGUAUAUACACAAGUUUUCUUUUACUCACAUAUUAACUUUAUCAUAGUUAAUCGUGAUCUUGCGGUAUCAUUGAAUCACGUGAUUCCCACUACAAUUUUCUUUUCUAGCAAGAAUUUGAUACUUUAACAUGGCUAGGUGGUACUAAUACCAGGGGCUUCAGCGUUACUACAUUUAUUUGCUAUUUAAAACUCUGCUUCUUGUAUGGUAAAUCGUUUCAUAAGUAUAUAAUUUGUCAUUAAAAACCGAGAGGACUUGGGCGGAGCCUAACCGCCGAAACGACUAGACGCACCCUAAGUAAACUCCCGCACCACCAGUUUAAAGCAAGGAGAUAUCUUCCGACAGAGAGCAAUCACCAACACUGCAGUACCCUGAGUAUUUGUAGGGCGUCUUGGUGAACGUAUAGACACCAAGCCCGAGACGCUUGACCGCAGGACACCCGGGACGCAACUUUGGGGCCUACACAAGAUUGAGGUGGGAAGAGGCGGCCGCUCUCCUCACUUUAAACGGCGGUCUUGUACUCCUGGUCACCCUACAGUUCAAUCUGAAGCUUGACCCACUGCUCUUGAGCCCCACUAACGCCAAUGCCAAUGCAGCUAAGAUGGCGGUUGAAAUCCCUAAGAUGGUCCCAGCGGGCAACGCUGAACAUGAACAGCCUACCGGUGGACUUUUAGCUGGCUUCAACCAGGUGUGUGCUGAUUUCUGGAAACUAAUUGAGGAAAGGCAGGAGAGGAGAAAUGAAGCAGAGAGACGCAAACAUCUGCUACACAUCUCAUCCCACGCAGCCCUGAUGAGAACCCCCAGAGGCAGUGCGCCUGGGCCUGUACGGAGAAAAGGCAGAAGGAGUAGAAAUCCUCCAUGCUCUCAACAUAGAAGCCAGUUAUCUGCAAGAAGUGCCAGAGAUUGUGUCCAGACCGGUGACGGAGAUCAGAUACGUGAGGAGCCAGUGCAGGACUAUAUCGGGACUCAAGGACUGUGGGGUAGCUCUGAGGCGAUGCAGUCCCUUAAUUUGCCACUGGGAAGGCUGUGUUUGUUAGUGGGCAUAGGCUGACCACCCCUCUCGAUAUAAGGCUCGAGCCCUCCCUCUUUAUAGGCCUCAAGUCCCAAGUGGGGUAGUGUUGUAUAAUCCUGUUCCUUAGCUCACCCCCUUGCGACUUAUGUUACAGUGCAUCCGCUUGCUCAAUUUAUCAUUGCUUCCCUUCCUUGAAAACACCAUCUGUACCAUACCAUGCUUAUUAUAUCUUAUUUACACAUGACUACUUAAUAAGUAUACUCUCAUUCAUACCUACCUUGUUUACCUUUUAUUUUUUUACACGCCCACUCGUGCAUACUUAGCCUGUUGCAGUAGUAUCAUUACGCUAGAAUUGUGGAUACAUCGCUUAGGAGCUCACUCUCUAUUGAUUUAUCACAAUGAUGUAUUCAUGUUGUUUUGCAUAUUAAGUCUUACUAUUUGUGUAUAUUCCUGAGUUGACUCCUAUGUGCCUGUAUUGUACCUUAGCUACUCUUUGUCUAUAUAUAAAAAAUGUGCUAAUAUCUCGACUGCCACACUGUUUUGAUUUGUGUUUUACUUAUACUGCCAUUGCUGUUGUGGUGAUGCAGGCCUGCUUGUCAACUAAGCACAACAAAAAUGAAGAAUUAAAAAAAAAAAAACGAGAGGACCAGGGGAAGAGGUUGUUGGAAAAUCUGAAAUUUAACUUAGAGAGAAAUACCUCUAACUGCAGAUUUUCUGGAUAUUGAAAUGAAAGAAACAAUGCUACAACUAGACUCAGCUCAGAUCAGCCUUCCCCAAAAACUCAUCUGAGGAGAUUCUACAAAAUACUAGAUACAUACACCUAAAAUACCUACUGAAUACAUUAUUUUGUUAUUUGUAAAUAUCCAAAAUACGCCCCCCAAAAAAUAUACGAUAAAAACUAAAACAUAUUAAAUUCUUUCAUCUGUAAGAAAAGGAAAAAUUAAAUUAUAUGCCAAGAAAAAAAAAAUGUCUAAAAAGGGUAUACCUUUAAAAAUAAAGUAGGUUUGAAGACAUUUCUAGAACCUAGGACGGUCAUUGUGUAAAGGGGAAUUUGGUGAAAUCAUAUUCACCUCGUCCUCUUUCCUGAAUCUGUCAUUACUCUGAAAAUAUGUAACAAGGACUACAAAUAUGACUGAUAAACCGCCAGGGAAGCAAUGUGGGUGCAUAUUGUUAUUAAUAAUACUAUGUGAUUACCCAGAAUUUUAUAAGAUAACGCUAUAGACAGUUUCUCUAAGUUAUAGUCAUUAUUUUACGCUUAAAAUCAUUUUAUACAAUAGGAAUAAAAGCGCUGUGAUUUAAUUUUGUAUUUUUCCUUUUUCACCAGAAUUUAGGUUUCCUAAUCAGAUUUUUCACGGGAAUUUAAAUGGUAUAAAAUAAUUAUGAGCAUUACUUCCUCGGCCUUUGUUCCGUUGCAGGAAAAAGCCAGAAAAGGCAAAGAAACAGUCAUUGUCACAUCGCGAACGUGUCAAACAUAUGAAGAAAAAAACAGAAAAAUGUCAUAAUGAGGAGCUUGUCAUUCUUUACAUCAUUGGAUGAUGGUACAUAUUUGCGCUGCUUCCCAGCAAUGGAAUACCUGGCUAGUUAACUGUUUCACUACCAAAUUUUCUUUAUUUAAAGACAAACACCAGCGUUCAAAUGUUUUUGGACAUGAAAUGCUAGCGUAUAAUCGUGGGUGAAAGAUCGAUUUUGCGAAUAGAUUUGAGUUAACCAAUUAAAAUCGUGUAAAUGUAUUUAAAUAUAGCUUGUUAUUUAUUCUUUGGUGUAUUUAUCAGUAUAUAUUGAUGUCAUAUUUAUAUAUUGUCAAGAGACUACAAUGUUAUAGACAAUGCUACAAACAGACCCAGAGGUGGAGCUUCAGCUCAGAUUAGCCUCCCCCAACAACACCUCCUAGGACAGGCAUAGGCAACCUUCGGCACUCCAGAUGUUUUGGACCACACCUCCCAUGAUGCUUUGUCAGCACUAUGGGUGUAAAAGCAUUAUGGGGGAUGUAGUCCACAACAUCUGGGGUGCCGAAGGUUGCCUAUCCCUGUCCUAGGAGAUUCUACCAAUUAGUUGAUAAAUCCACCUCAAUACCCACUGAAUAAGUUUUUUGUUAUUUCUAAACGUCCAAAAUAUGC
rnacentral:lncRNA from 1 species